GAUGAACGCUGGCGGUGUGCCUAAUACAUGCAAGUCGAACGAGUGGCGGACGGGUGAGUAAUGUCUGGGAAACUGCCUGAUGGAGGGGGAUAACUACUGGAAACGGUAGCUAAUACCGCAUACCAUGGGAUGGGCCCAGAUGGGAUUAGAUGGUGGGUGGGGUAACGGCUAACCUAGGCGCGGAACCCUAGCUGGUCGGAGAGGAUGACCAGCCACACUGGAACUGAGACACGGUCCAGACUCCUACGGGAGGCAGCAGUGGGGAAUAUUGCACAAUGGGCGCAAGCCUGAUGCAGCCAUGCCGCGUGUAUGAAGAAGGCCUUCGGGGUGUAAAGUACUUUCAGCGGGGAGGCGUUACCCGCAGAAGAAGCACCGGCUAACUCCGUGCCAGCAGCCGCGGUAAUUC
rnacentral:rRNA from 1 species